ACGAACGCUGGCGGCGUGGAUAAGACAUGCAAGUCGAACGGGAGAAUUGCUAGCUUGCUAAUAAUUCUCUAGUGGCGCACGGGUGAGUAACACGUGAGUAACCUGCCUCUUAGUGGGGGAUAGCCCUGGGAAACCGGGAUUAAUACCGCAUACGAUUGAAAGAUCAAAGCAGCAAUGCGCUAGGAGAUGGGCUCGCGGCCUAUUAGUUAGUUGGUGAGGUAACGGCUCACCAAGGCGAUGACGGGUAGCCGGUCUGAGAGGAUGUCCGGCCACACUGGAACUGAGACACGGUCCAGACACCUACGGGUGGCAGCAGUCGAGAAUCAUUCACAAUGGGGGCAACCCUGAUGGUGCGACGCCGCGUGGGGGAAUGAAGGUCUUCGGAUUGUAAACCCCUGUCAUGUGGGAGCAAAUUAAAAAGAUAGUACCACAAGAGGAAGAGACGGCUAACUCUGUGCCAGCAGCCGCGGUAAUACAGAGGUCUCAAGCGUUGUUCGGAAUCACUGGGCGUAAAGCGUGCGUAGGCUGUUUCGUAGGUCGUGUGUGAAAGGCAGGGGCUCAACCCCUGGAUUGCACAUGAUACUGCGAGACUAGAGUAAUGGAGGGGGAACCGGAAUUCUCGGUGUAGCAGUGAAAUGCGUAGAUAUCGAGAGGAACACUCGUGGCGAAGGCGGGUUCCUGGACAUUAACUGACGCUGAGGCACGAAGGCCAGGGGAGCGAAAGGGAUUAGAUACCCCUGUAGUCCUGGCAGUAAACGGUGCACGCUUGGUGUGCGGGGAAUCGACCCCCUGCGUGCCGGAGCUAACGCGUUAAGCGUGCCGCCUGGGGAGUACGGUCGCAAGAUUAAAACUCAAAGAAAUUGACGGGGACCCGCACAAGCGGUGGAGUAUGUGGCUUAAUUCGAUGCAACGCGAAGAACCUUACCUGGGCUUGACAUGUAAUGAACAACAUGUGAAAGCAUGCGACUCUUCGGAGGCGUUACACAGGUGCUGCAUGGCCGUCGUCAGCUCGUGUCGUGAGAUGUUUGGUUAAGUCCAGCAACGAGCGCAACCCCUGUUGCCAGUUACCAGCACGUCAAGGUGGGGACUCUGGCGAGACUGCCCAGAUCAACUGGGAGGAAGGUGGGGACGACGUCAGGUCAGUAUGGCCCUUAUGCCCAGGGCUGCACACGUACUACAAUGCCCAGUACAGAGGGGGCCGAAGCCGCGAGGCGGAGGAAAUCCUGAAAACUGGGCCCAGUUCGGACCGUAGGCUGCAACCCGCCUACACGAAGCCGGAAUCGCUAGUAAUGGCGCAUCAGCUACGGCGCCGUGAAUACGUUCCCGGGUCUUGUACACACCGCCCGUCACAUCAUGGAAGCCGGUCGCACCCGAAGUAUCUGAAGCCAACCGCAAGGAGGCAGGGUCCUAAGGUGAGACUGGUAACUGGGAUG
rnacentral:rRNA from 1 species